AUUGAACGCUGGCGGCAUGCCUUACACAUGCAAGUCGAACGGCAGCACGGGUGCUUGCACCUGGUGGCGAGUGGCGAACGGGUGAGUAAUAUAUCGGAACGUACCUUAUUGUGGGGGAUAACGCAGCGAAAGCUGUGCUAAUACCGCAUAAUCCCUAAGGGGGAAAGCGGGGGACCGUAAGGCCUCGCGCAAUUAGAGCGGCCGAUACCUGAUUAGCUAGUUGGUGAGGUAAAGGCUCACCAAGGCAACGAUCAGUAGCUGGUCUGAGAGGACGAUCAGCCACACUGGGACUGAGACACGGCCCAGACUCGUGCGGGAGGCAGCAGUGGGGAAUUUUGGACAAUGGGGGCAACCCUGAUCCAGCAAUGCCGCGUGAGUGAAGAAGGCGUUCGGGUUGUAAAGCUCUUUUGUCAGGGAAGAAACAGCAGCUCUAACACAGUUUGCGAAUGACGGUACCUGAAGAAUAAGCACCGGCUAACUACGUGCCAGCCGCCGCGGUAA
rnacentral:rRNA from 1 species